AUAGACUGAAUAUACCUUUCUCACGACUUGUGACGGACAGACGAUACUGAUCACCUGUGUAUCAACGCACAUCCACAAGAAAGCACACCAUUAUUCAAAGUUAAAACAUAUAUAUUCAAUGAGAGUGGCAUUUUAGUAUCAAUUUCGUUCCAUGUAGUCAUGGUCAUUCCACUGUUGGGUGGACGUGCUCAGAUACCAUGUUCCCUCAAUCGCAAUAACACUGUUGACUGCCGUCGAUACCGUUGCUGUCGCGGGGAUGGAACAAUUUCAGAGUUAAUGUCUGGGGAUGUAACGACUCAUCAAUGAGCGUGUUUACACGAAGGAUUUACCUUCGGGGCCAUACUAAUGGCUUUAUUCCUCCCACUCUUUCUGGACUGCUGUUAAACGAGGCAUUACUUUUGAGUGCUCUUGUUUACUGUGUUUCGAAUGUCCUGCCUUUUCACCAAGAAUUCAUUUCUAUGUUUGUUUUAUAAAGUAAUGAGACAAAACCUUCUUGUCGUACAUUCUUCUUGGCGUGCAUAUAUAUCUAUUUGAAUAUAAGAAACAUAAGUCGAGAGAGGAUGUUGACAAGGAGAUCCGAUGUCCCCAUAUUUGUUUCUUUUUGUCGCAGAAAUACUUGGGAUAAUGAUAAGAAAUAAUACAAAUGUAACAAGAAUAGUUCUUGGAGAAAGUGAGCACGUAAUAGGUCAAUACGGGGAUGACACCGAACUAUUUCUAGACGACACAGCUCUAAAUGAAGCAGAAAGUAAAGACUGAAGAGGGGUGCAAUACAAACAGUGUUCUCCUUUAAGAAAUACUAGGUCCCUGUGUCAAUCAUCAUUCAUGCCAGUGCUCUGUGACGCAACCAGAAGAUCAGCUAUUUAUGACUUUGUUAAAAUUCAGACAGACAAGAGAUGAUUUUGACCUUUCCACAUUGUUCCAUGUCAAUGAAAGUACAGUAUCAACAUUAGUUCUCACUUUGACAAACUUUUUGUACUUCCAAUUGAACGUAUGGACAUAACAAGAUACAGUUCAUGAUAAAAUGCCAUAAACUUUCAAGGAAAGCUUCCCAUCAACAAGGGUGUUUCUGGAGGCAACUGGGACACCGAUUCGUAAGCCAGGCAAUAUAGCUUACCACUCUGAAAACUAUGAAUGGUUGUUCUCAUCGAGGUCUUGUUAUCUAUGUUAAUGACAGUUAUGGUGGAUCAACAAGUGACAGGCAGAUAAUAGAGAGGUCAGAUCUAGCCUGCCAGGUGUGUUCUGUGCAGGAGACUGCAUUAUGCUGCAGGAAUUACUUUCCUCUGCAGAUGUAAAAGUUACAAUUGCGUCUAAUGUUCAAGGGUCGAAGUCCUGAACCCCAAGAGGUAGUCCACGACUGCAUAAUUUCAUCCAAGUCAAUUCUUAUUAAGUCUGCUAAAAGAGGGAUACCUUUGUGUGUUCAAUUGUUUUACAUAUAUACCAUAUAUACUAUGUACUUUUAUAGUACACAUAUGUUUGUGGAUUUGCACACAAAAGUGCGCAUAUUAAUGUUUCGGUGUAUAUACAUUGUGUAUCAAUAUAGAGUGAGUGAUUUUAAAUAAAAGGCGCAAAAUAAAUUGUUUAUGUUUAGAUU